rnacentral:rRNA from 1 species
UACAGAGGAGCCAAGCGUUGUCCGGAUUGACUGGGCGUAAAGCGCACGCAGGCGGACGCGCGCGUGGGGUGUGAAAUCUGGCCGCUUAACGGCCAGGCGCCAUCCCAUACGGCGCGUCUGGAGUGAUGCAGAGGUCGGUGGAAUUGCCGGUGUAGUGGUGAAAUGCGUAGAGAUCGGCAGGAACACCCAGGGGGAAACCAGCCGACUGGGCAUCUACUGACGCUGAGGUGCGAGAGCGUGGGGAACGAACCGG